UACGUAGGUGGCAAGCGUUGUCCGGAUUUAUUGGGUUUAAAGGGUGCGUAGGCGGCCCUGCAAGUCAGUGGUGAAAUACUCUAGCUUAACUAGAGGGGUGCCAAUGAUACUGCAGGGCUUGAGUACAGAUGAGGUAGGCGGAAUUGACGGUGUAGCGGUGAAAUGCAUAGAUAUCGUCAAGAACACCUAUAGCGAAGGCAGCUUACUGGGCUGUAACUGACGCUGAGGCACGAAAGUGUGGGGAUCAAACAGG
rnacentral:rRNA from 1 species